rnacentral:lncRNA from 1 species
AUUUUACUGAGAGCCUCGGUUGCCAAUGUCCUGAACCGCGAUUUGAAUUUGGCCCAUGGAAACCAGAAAAUGGAGAGGCUUCUGAUGCGACUCUGAAAGAGUUCACACCGAGGUUUCGGAUUCCUCAUCACAUUAACCGCGAAGAAAUCAAAAGUGAUCUCUUCCGAUAUUUGUCCAAGGUUCCUGGUUCGUCGGAAUAAUGAAUUGGUUCAACGAACACAUUUAUCAGCACUUUUAAUAAACCUCUCCUUACUAAAUCCUUCAAGGCUGGGCAUCUAAACAUACCUGUUGUACCUUUCAUUCCAAAUCCCUUGCGGUGUUUUAAAUACUCAGAACAGAGGGGUUAGCAACACUCGAGAAAAUUAUGAAAGAAAUUAGAGAUUUACGGAGUGAUCUUAGUGAAGAUAUUAGUCAAAUAAAACGAAAUACAAGUGAAACAAAGAUAGAGUGUGCACGCGUGUUGCAUACGAUUAGACGUUGAUGCUGUAAAUGAAAAGUUAGAAAAUAUGGAGGUGAUUAUUAAUGAACAAAAAGAAAUAAUAGACCGAAUGGACAACGAGAUAAAUGAACUUGAAGCAAGGGGCAGGAGAAAUAAUCUUAUAUUUUAUGGAGUGGAAGAAGCUGAUGGUGAAACGAGUCAGAAAUGUCGGGUAAGGUGCUUGACAUAGUGAACAAUAUUCCGGGAGUAAAUAUUCAAUUGAGAGCCAUACAUACAACUCACAGACUGGGGAGACGACAGACGGAUAGAAGCAGGCCAAUCAUUGUUAAUUUGUGUCAUUCAGAUGAUAAACAGUGUAUUUUCGAGAACCGGGCACAGCUGAAAGAUUUAGGAAUAUCUGUAUAUAAUGACUUAACUAGGCGACAGCGCAAUAUAUUAAAUGAACUAAAAGCACAAGGAAAGAAAGGUUAUUUGAAGUGUGGUGAAUUGGUUGUAGAUAAUGCAAGUGACACGCGUAGAUACAGGUUUCGGCACAAGACGUCACGUGCAACUCUGGCUACAGACAUGGAGACCUCUGUGCAACACACCAGUGAAGUUGACUUCAUUUCGUCACGUGAUACCGAUAACGCUCACAACGAAUAGCAAUGCGGCCACAGCCCAAGAGAUACGUCACAUCAUUUUCUGUUUUGGAACAUAGAAGGACUUCGUCGUCUUUUAAAUGACCCAGAUUUUGUGACUUAUGUAGAAAAAUAUGAUUUUAUUUCAUUUUCUGAAACAUGGAUGAAUACUGAUCUUUUUUCUCCAGUGUUUGAAAACUACUCCUUAUUUAUGCAGCUAGGGGGAAAAUUUAACAAUAAAGGAAGGCUGUCAGGAGGUAUAUAUAUUUUUUAUUAGGAAUUCUAUCAAACAUUGAAUUUGAUAAACAAGUUUUUAAACAAGAUAAGGACAUUUUAUUUGGGUGUAUAUAUAAUCCUCCUCAGUAUUCUGUAUAUUUUCAAAACUCUGAUGGAAAUAAUGGUAUUAGUGUGUUAGAAAGUAUUAUCUUAGAUUUAAUAACAAGUAUUGGUACAGAUUGCUAUAUAAUUCUGGCAGGGGAUUUCAAUGCCCGUACAGGAAAUCUUUAUGAUGAGAUUGAGAUUAGUGAGAACGAUCAUUGGGCGUUGAAUGAUUUAAUCCAGGUGGGUCCUAGACAUUCAAAAGACAACGUAAUUAAUGUGUUUGGUAGUUCGCUUAUCGAUAUGUGUUCAUCUUUAAAUAUAAACAUUUUGAAUGGCAGGUGUGGCCAGGAUACUAUUGGAGACUUUACAUACAUAUGUGACAAGGGAGCAAGUGUUGUUGAUUAUUGUGUUGCAUCACCUAUGUUAUUUCAAACUGUGAAGGAUUUUGUAGUAGAAAAUAGAACUGAAUCAAAACAUUUACCAAUAAGUCUAACUAUACAUACAGGAGAUGUACAAAUUUCUGAUAGUAGUAGUACAUAUAUAUAAACAUUUAUUUGGGAUGAUGAUAAGAAGAAUGAGUAUAUUGCAAAUAUUGCUAACACUACAAAUUCUAGUUUGUUAAUAAAUGCUAUAUCAAUGAUAGAUGUCGAUAUACAUGUAUCGGUAUAGAUGUUUAACGACAUGCUGAUUAUCGCUGGACAGUGUUUAUUAUAUAGAAAGGGCACAUAUCGGAAGAAUCAUAAUAAAUGGUUUGAUUGUGAAUGUCGCCAAUACAAAAGACAGGCAAGAUAUGCACUUAGAAAAUAUAGAAAAUUUAGAACAAGGUAUACUUAUGGUCAAUACAGAACAGCAAUGAAUAGAUAUAAAGCACUUAUAAAGGUAAAGAAAGAUAUUUAUGUAAAUGAUGAAAUCUAUAAAUUGCAACAGCUGCUGGUAAACAAAAUAAUAAAGCAUUCUGGUCCCAUUUAAGACGCAUGCGAUCGAAACAAGAUAUAAACAUUCCAAUAUGACAAGAUAAAUGGUUUACACACUUUACAACAUUAUUCAAAGAAAUUCAUGAUGAUAAUCACAUGGUUUAUAAUGAUGAUAAAGUUCAUUCUAUUAAUAGUAGAGGACAAAAUUUAGAUGACAUUAUGACAGGUUAUACUGCCUCAAUAACAAGAUGCGAGAUUGAAUCUUCUAUUAAUUCACUGAAAAUGGGUAAAGCAGCAGGGUUUGAUAAUCUGAUUAGGGAAAUGUUUAUUUUUGGUAAAGAUUAUUUUUAUGAAUAUAUGUAAAAAUUAUUUAAUACAAUUUUUGAUAGUGGUGUAUUCCCAGAUAUGUGGACAAAAUGAAUAAUAGUGCCAAUUUUUAAGAAUGGAUCAAAAGAUAAUCCAGGUAAUUACCGUGGAAUUACUUUAUUACCUGUACUUAGUAAAAUAUAUAUCUCUAUUAUCAGUGAAAGGAUAACAGACUGGGCCAAUGAUCAUAAUAAAAUAACCGAAGCUCAAGCAGGCUUUAGGGCUGGCUAUUCUACAAUAGAUAAUGUGUUUACUCUAUAUGCAUGUGUACAGAAAUAUCUCUCCAAAAGGAAGGGGAGGUUGUAUGUUGCAUUUGUUAAUUUUAAAAAAGCAUUUGAUGGCAUAGAUAGAAAAAAGUUAUUGUUUCUCCUACAGGACAUUGGGCUGUGUGGUAAACUGAUAGACAGUAUUAAAUCUAUUUAUAAAACGUUUAUGUUAUGUAUCAGAACAAAUGAUGGACUAACAGGUUUUUUUUUUAGUGCCCUGUCAGCCUUAGGCGGGGGGGGGGGGGGGGGGGGGUUUUAAGCCCGAUACUGUUUUCUUUGUAUAUAACUGAACUUAGUGGUGAGAUGGUCAAGUAUUGUGAAAGAGGUAUCCAGAUGACACCAGAUCUUACAGAAAUUAUGAUGUUGUUAUUUGCAGAUGAUAUUGUUUUACUUUCAGAUACACGAGGGGGGCUACAAAAGCAACUAGAUAUACUGUAUAAUUAUUGUCAAAAAUGGAAGCUGAUGGUAAAUUUACAGAAAACAAAAGUAGUAGUAUUUCGAAGAAGGGGAAAACUUUGCUUUUAUGAAAAAUGGUAUUAUGGAAAGGAAAUACUAAAUGUGUUCCACAAUAUAUCUAUCUUGGGAUAUGUUUCAAUAGUCAAACAAGUUUAGCACAAGUAACUAGUCAUUUAGCAGUCAAAGGUAAAAGGGCAUUAAUAGAAAUUUUUAGAACAAUGUCAAACUACAAAAUAUUCCCAUUUCAUACUUAUUUUAAAAUAUUUGAUACACAGGUAUUACCUAUUUUAUUGUAUGGGUCUGAACUAUGGGAUUUUCAACAGUUCGAAAGUAUAGAAAGAGUACAAUAUAUGGCUUGUAAACGAUUUUUAAAUGUAAGUAAAUAUGAACCAAAUGUCAUGGCACUAGGGGAAUGUGGAAGAUAUUUGAUAUACCAUAACAGUCUCAUUAGGUGUAUACAGUAUUGGAUAAAAUUGCUGCAAAUGCCAAUUUUCAGGUAUCCUCAUAAAGCUUACAACAUGUUAUAUUCUUUAGAUAAUGCAGGAAGAUAUACGUGGGUUACUGCUAUCAAGAAAAUUAUGUUUUCUUUAGGUUUUGGAUAUGUGUGGAUAUCUCAAGAUGUUGGGGAUAAGUCAUUAUUUUAAAACAAAGAGUAAAAGAUAUUCAAACACAACAUUGGAUUUCGAAAAUUAAGUCUAGUAGUAGGUAUGAUAUAUAUUGUAAAUAUAAAUUAAAUCUAGAACCUGAAUUAUAUCUUACAUCUUCUGCACUUGACGUAUAAAAAGGAUAUAGCACUGAUUAGAAUGGGAGGAGUGGGUCUAGCGGUGGAUGAAGGUAUACAUAUAGGUUUAAAUAAAAGGGAUAGGAUUUGUAAAUUAUGUAAUAAAAGAGAAGUAGAAAACGAAUUCCAUUUUAUUAUAAAUUGUCCAUUAUAUGAAACUUUAAGAGAAAUGUAUAUACCUAGAAAGUUUUUGACAAAUAGAUCCUUGUAUACUUUUAAUGAAUUCAUGUCUACAAGAAAUGAAAAUACACUAAAAUAUUUAGGUAUUUAUUUAGCUAAAGCAUUACAGUUAAGAAAGGAAAGAAGUUGUGUAAGUUACAGAUCUGGUGUGUAAGGUAAAUGUAUAGAAGAUUAUAACUAUGAUGUUCAUAUAGUGGUACUUUGGAAUAAUGUCACCUGCACAAAGGUCCAGUUGUUUAACAAUCAUAAGCUGACUACACUUUGAUAAAGAGUGUGUAUGUGGGUGAGGGUGGGGUAUGGUAAUAAAGGAAAAUAAUAAAUAUGAGAAUAAAUUAUAUGAAUCAAAACUAUAAUAGUGGGAUAUAAGUUAAUUUGUAGACCUAUAUGAAAUAAUGUACACCAAAAAUAAUUGUAUAAAAUAUAUGUAUACACACUGAUUGCAGUUAAAUAAUAUUUAGUGUGCUAUAUGAAUUGUUGAACAACGGGUCCUUCAAAUGUCACAUUUUCUUGUCUGUAAAUGGGCUAUGGCCUAAAAACGGAAUAAAGAAUUGAAUUGAA